AGAUUUAAGGAGCAUCGUUGCAGCCCUACUGUGUGGAUCACCGCUAAAGAGGAGGACACUUGACCUCCUUUAUCCACUCCUACAGAUCUGUAGGGAUUUAGGGAUAUAUGAUCUCCCUAGGUAAUACAGCUAUCUCACACGUGGUUUUCUAUUUCGCAGGUUUUGCGCACCAAUCUACGCACGACGACGAACACGUAUUG
rnacentral:lncRNA from 1 species